UACAGAGGGUGCGAGCGUUAAUCGGAAUUACUGGGCGUAAAGCGUGCGCAGGCGGUUUUGUAAGUCUGUCGUGAAAUCCCCGGGCUCAACCUGGGAAUUGCGAUGGAGACUGCAAGGCUAGAAUCUGGCAGAGGGGGGUAGAAUUCCACGUGUAGCAGUGAAAUGCGUAGAGAUGUGGAAGAACACCGAUGGCGAAGGCAGCCCCCUGGGUCAAGAUUGACGCUCAUGCACGAAAGCGUGGGGAGCAAACAGG
rnacentral:rRNA from 1 species